UACGUAGGGACCAAGCGUUGUUCGGAUUUACUGGGCGUAAAGGGCGCGUAGGCGGCGUGUUAAGUCAGCUGUGAAAUCUCCAAGCUUAACUUGGAACGGUCAGCUGAUACUGAUGUGCUAGAGUGCAGAAGGGGCAAUCGGAAUUCUUGGUGUAGCGGUGAAAUGCGUAGAUAUCAAGAGGAACACCCGUGGCGAAAGCGGCUCUCUGGGACGGUACUGACGCUGAGACGCGAAAGCGUGGGGAGCAAACAGG
rnacentral:rRNA from 1 species